CCUUGACCUUGUGUGAGAGGCAGUGACAGGGCGCCAUAUACAGCCAUCUUUACUGUACCGUGGUGUGGACAGGAGCAUUUGCAGCCUUGCUUACAAUUCUUAAAUUAGGUUGUGGAAGUUGGAGCAAAUACCAACUACAUACCUUCCAUCCUGCGAUAAGGCCUUCUACAAGCAUAAGGCAUUAUAAAACAACAGAGCACAUCGUGAAUGACAUCAGGACGGGCGUGGCAUAUCCAGUAAUUCCUCACACAUCUCUAGCAUUUCGAAAGUGAACAGUUCUGGGAAACCACGUCGUCGACCUGAAGGCACGAACAUACGGAGUACACUGAAUUUGAAGUUUGUCUGUCAUGUCUAGGAUACUAAAGAAGUGAAAGAAUGGUAAAGGAUGGAUCGUCUUUCUUGAUGGAUUAGGCAAUGAAGGCUUAGUACUGACAUCUACGGUGGAUUCCAGCCUGGUGGAGCCUGGUGUCUGAGCCUUCUCCGAGCCUGGUAGAACGCACCUGUUGUCAUUGUCACGGAUCUUUCCCGAG